rnacentral:rRNA from 1 species
UACGGAGGGUGCAAGCGUUGUCCGGAAUCACUGGGCGUAAAGGGCGCGUAGGCGGCUCAUGAAGGCUGUGGUGAAAGUCCGGGGCUCAACCUCGGCUCGGCCGUGGCGACUCGUGGGCUGGAGCACUGUAGAGGCGGGUGGAAUUCCGGGUGUAGCGGUGGAAUGCGUAGAGAUCCGGAAGAACACCAGUGGCGAAGGCGGCCCGCUGGGCAGUGGCUGACGCUGAGGCGCGACAGCGUGGGGAGCAAACAGG